UGCGGAAACAUGGUCUUCAGUACGGGCAGUUUCAGCUUCACCCUAUGGCUGCACAUGGACACCUGAAGCUAAGCUUCUAGCCUCUCGCCUAGCAAAGCCGGCCACGGGCCCUGAUUUGUAGUUACAUUCUUCAUCUAAGUAGCUACACAAACAUAAUUGCUGUUUUAUUAAGGCAUUGAAGUGGUGAAGUAAAAUCGCUUGAUAAAAUGACGAAUUAUGCUCAUUUUCAAACACAGAUAACCUCCAUUAUGGAAAUCAUGACAAAGUCAGCGAUAGCAGAAAUUACCAGACUUUUUGACGACAGUUCCUCAAUUUUGUGUUUGAAAAUAUCUAGGAGUUUACAUGAGAAUCAAGCGCUGAAAAGGAAACUACAGUUGUUGCAGCAUGAGCUGAGCACGGCGCGAAAACGGAACGAGGGAAUAGCAGGAGCGCGUGAGAGUCCUGUCAACUCUCGAUCUGUUGGAGUUCAAGUUUCCGAGAGAAUAGUGGAAGAGCCAGGCAGAGAGAGAAUCUUUGGGCAGGAGCGGAGCUUCAGUCUGAGGAGAGAUGGAGAACCUGCAGGUGUGGAACAGUCUGCAAACAUGGAGAAGGUCAGACCUGAACCAGUUCUUAUCAAGGAGGAGAGACUGGAAGAGGACUUGUGUUACAGAGAUCACAAACCAGCAACAAAGGAACAGGUAACACAGCCCACACCUGCAACAGAGGAACAGGUAACACAGCCCACACCUGUAGAAGAUGGGAAGAAACUGGACACAGAGCUCACACCUGCAGGAGACCCAGAGGAGCUGAGUGAGCAGCACAGGUGUGAACACGGUGAUGAGGAGCUCAGUGGACUGGAGUUUGUGGUGAAGGCAGAGCAAGAGGAAGAGCAUGUAGUCCAGAGACUCAAUCAGACAGGGUGUGAACACAGUGCAGGAAGACUCAACAAUCUGGGCUCUGAGUAUGUAAUGUAUGAGAGAGACAGUCAGCUGUGGACUUCCUUUACACAAGAGGACAGUGACCUAGAGACUGAUGAUCCAGUUUGUUCUAAGGCUACAGAAAAGUUCUCACAGAAUCGGCCAAUUUACAGACAACUACAACAUGCUCCUGCCAUCAUGGAAGUCUCUGGAAACACACUAUCCUCUUUUGGGCCUUCACGUGUUGAGGAGUUGGAUAAGAUGCGUGCAAAGCCAUCUGUUUACAGUGAGAAGCUCAGAUCAGAGGCCAUUCACACACAGCAGGGUCAGUACAGAGAGAGACUUGUGCACACAGUGGAGAGAGAGAAUCAGACAUUACUGCCCCAGCAGCAGCGACAUGGACCCUCAGUAAAACACAUGAGAGGCAGCGAGACCCCAGCCCAGCUACACUCAGGCUCUCAGUAUGAGACCGGCUCUACUCUGAGUACCAGUGCUUUUAGUGCUGGGAAGAAGGGCAAGACUGAUGGACGAGCUGCUUUUAGAAAGAAACCAUUCAUUUGCAUAUAUUGCGGAAAGAGUUUUGAUUGCUGUAGUCGUCUCAUCUCACAUCACCGAAUUCACACCGGGGAGAAACCGUUCAGCUGUACACAGUGCGGAAGGUGUUUUAAUCGCAAAAGCAAUCUUGUACAACAUGAGAGGAUUCACAGCGGAUUUAAACCAUUCGGUUGCACGCUGUGUGGAAAGAGAUUUGCUCGGGGUCCUGAUCUCAGAGCACACCACAGAAGUCAUACUGGAGAGAGACCGUAUCACUGCACCCAGUGUGGGAAGAGUUUUGCUCGCCAGUGCAGUCUUGUUGUUCACCAGAGGAUUCACUCAAGAGUGAAACCGUACAGCUGUAUCUAGCCUCAGACUGCAUCUUUAAAUUUAAAGACCAGUUGAACUCAUCCGAUUUCACUUUUGAAAUAAAUCCUUUUGACUGAAAUGGUGUUCAUGAACAAUUUGGUAUUAGCUCUUUGUGGUAAAGUUUGUUAGAAAGGAAAUGUGCUUACAAAAUUCUUGAAGACAUCCAAGUAUCAUUGUUACCCUUUAGAUGGCUUUAAUAAAAUGAAACCGUUUUAAUUGAAAGUGUAGUUUUGGCUUCUUUUUUAUUUUAGCCUAACAUCUGCACACUCCUAUCCAAAAGAAACAACGCACCAAAGGCGGAAUCCACCGUAAUCCUGUCAUAUUUACAACCCUGUUGCUAUACUGUAGUUUUGGCUUACAUUGAAUUGCCCAAUUAAAUGAUUAACACAAAUGGUACGCACGCCGCAGUACGCCAUGGGUUCUAUCAAAUUGAUUUGCAAUUUUUCACUGAAUAUUUGCGGUUCAUUAUUACGUCAUCAACCUGUGGAAAUAUGGUCUUUGCCACAGACAGUUCAAGCUAAUAUACAUUUAAAUUUAAAUAUCAGUCAGGCAGAAAUGAGGAGUUUGAUUUAAACUGAACUAAGGUAUGGCAAAAAGAGGUAGGCAGGAGGGUGUAGAAGAGAGGAGAUGAUCAUAUAUCCAGGAUGAGAUUUGGACAUACGGGAGUACACUGUGCACAUCAUCUAAUGAAUGGACACAAUUGCACGACUUGCGAUUACCGCCUUCAAGAAGAGACUAUUGAGCGUGUUACAUCAUUUUGCCCUAAUUAUAAUUUACAGAAGGAAAUGUUGAUGAACCUGAGCAAUACGACGGUUAUGUUUUAAGAGAUAACUGUCGCAAAGGAAUUCAGGGCACAAAUGUUAUUCUUUUAUAUUUCCGUAUGUAAGAAACAAAGGGUUAAUAAACAGGAUAUCAUUUUUUGUUGUUCGUUUGUUUGUUUUUUGAGAAAGACUGAUAGCGUCCCGAUCCACACUCCUAUCCAGUCGGUGGCGGUAAUUGUCCUCAAUGUUGCUUGCCAACUGCCAUGAACCCCCAAGUAGAAGAAGACGAAGAAGAAGACCGUAUUAGCUUCACCUACAGCUAAGCUAGCGUUUCGCCUAGCAAAGCCAGUGACAGCUCCUAAUUGAUAGUUACAUUCUUCUUCUAGGUCGCUACAAAAAAAUAAAUAAAUGCUGUUUUAUUAAAGCAUUGAAGUGGUGAAGUAAAAUCUUUUGGUAAAAUGACGAAUUAUGCUCAUUUUCAAACACAGAUAACCACCAUUAUGGAAAUCAUGACAAAGUCAGCGAUAGCAGAAAUCAUCAAACUUUUUGACGACAGUUCCUCAGUUUUGUGUUUGAAAAUAUCUAGGAGUUUACACGAGAAUCGAGCGCUGAAAAGGAAACUACAGUCGAUGCAGCAUGAGCUGAGGACGGCGCGAAGGCAGAAAGAGGGAAUAGCAGGAGCGCCUGAGGGUCCUGUCAACACUCGAUCUGUUGGAGUUCAAGUUCUCGAGAAUAGUGUGGAAGAGCCACGCAGAGGGAGAAUCUUUGGGCUGGAGGGGAACUUCAGUCUGAGGAGAGAUGGAGAACCUGCAGGUGUGGAACAGUCAGCAAGCAUGGAGAAGGUCAGACCUGAGCCAGUUCUUAUCAAGGAGGAGAGACUGGAAGAGGACUUGUGUUACAGAGAUCACAAACCAGCAGCAAAGGAACAGGUAACACAGCCCACACUUGCAACAGAGGAACAGGUAACACAGGCCACACCUGUAGAAGAUGGGAAGAAACUGGACACAGAGCCCACACCUGCAGGAGACCCAGAGGAGCUGAGUGAGCAGCACAGGUGUGAACACGGUGAUGAGGAGCUCAGUGGACUGGAGUUUGUGGUGAAGGCAGAGCAAGAGGAACAGCAUGUAGCCCAGAGACUCAAUCAGACAGGAUGUGAACACAGUGCAGGAAGACUCAACAAUCUGGGCUCUGAGUGUGUAAUGUAUGAGAGAGACAGUCAGCUGUGGACUUCCUUAGCACAAGGGGACAGUGACAUAGAGCCUGAUGAUCCAGUUUGUUUUAUUGCUACUGAACAGUGCUCAGAGAAUUUGUCAAUUCACACACAGCUCCAACAGACUCCUGCCACCAUGGAAGUUUCUGGAAACACACUGUCCUCUUUUGGGGAUUCGUAUGUUGAGGAGUUUGAUAAGAUGAGUGAGAAGCCGCCUGUUUGCAGUGAGGAGCUCCGAUCAGAGGCCAUUCACACACAGCAGGGUCAGUACAGAGAGAGACUUGUGCACACAGUGGAGAGAGAGAAUCAGACAUUACUGCCCCAGCAGCAGCAACAUGGACCCUCAGUAAAACACAUGAGAGGCAGCGAGAGCCCAGCCCAGCCACACUCAGGCUCUCAGUAUGAGACCGGCUCUACUCUGAGUACCAGUGCUUUCAGUGCUGGGAGGAAGGAUGCGACUCAUGGACAACCUGACUUUGGAAAGAAACCGUUCAUUUGCAUAUAUUGUGGGAAGAGUUUUAAUUGCUGUAGUCAUCUCAUCUCACAUCACCGAAUUCACACAGGGGAGAAACCAUACAGUUGUGCACAGUGUGGGAAGCGUUUCAGUCACAAAGGUAAUCUUGUACAACAUGAGCGGGUUCACAGUGGGAAUAAACCAUUCGGUUGCACACUGUGUGGAAAGAGGUUUGCUCGUGGACCUGAUCUUAGAGCACACCACAGAAUUCAUACAGGAGAGAAACCGUAUCACUGCACGUACUGUGGGAAGAGUUUUGCUCGCCAGUGUAAUCUUGUUGUGCACCAGAGGAUUCACACAAGAGUGAAACUAUACAGCUGUAUCUAGCGUCCGACUACUUUUUAAAAAGUCAUAGACCUUUUAAACUGAACAGAUUUCACUGGUGAAACUAACCGCUUUGAUUAGAAUGAUAGGCAUUAAUAAGCUUUGUAUUAGCUUUGUGUUACAGUUUGAGUUAUAAAAAACUGUGCUGACAAAAUUCACGAAGACACAUGAUAACACAUCAAGCAUCAAUGUUGUCUUUCAUAUGGCUUUAAUAAAAUGAAACCGUUUUAAUUAGAAGUGUAGUUUUGGCUUCUUUUUUUUUUAGCCGAAAAUCUGCACCACCUCAUCCAGAAGAAACAAGGCACCAAAGGCGGAAUCCACCGUAACCCUGUCAUACUUGCAACCCUGUCACUAUGCUGUAGCUUUGACUCGCAUUGGAUUGCACAAUUAAAUGCAUUAACACAAAUAGUGCGCACGCCGCAGUGAACAAUGUUUUCUUUCAAAUAUUUUUGCAAUUUUUACUGAGUAUUUACGGUAAAUUAUUACGUCAUCAACUUGCGGAAACAUGGUCUUCACCACAAACAAUUUUAUCUUAAACUAGAUUCCUAAAGCCAAGCUUCUAGCGUCUCGCAUAGCAAAGCCAGCCACGGGCACUGAUUGGUAGUUACAUUCUUCAUCUAGGUAGUAACAUAAACAUAAUUGCUGUUUUAUUAAGACACUGAAGUGGUGAAGUAAAAUCGUUUGGCAAAAUGACGAAUUAUGCUCAUUUUCAAAGACAGAUUACCACCAUUAUGGAAAUCAUGACAAAGUCAGCGAUAGAAGAAAUUACUAAACUUUUUGACGACAGUUCCUCAGUUUUGUGUUUUAAAAUAUCUAGGAGUUUAAACGAGAAUGAGGCGCUGAAAAAGAAACUACAGUUGUUGCAGCAUGAGCUGAGGUCGGCGCGUGGACAGAAAGAGGAAAUAAAAUCAGCGCGUGAGAGCCCUGUCAACACUCGAUCUGUUGGAGUUCAAGUUUUCGAGAGUAAUUUGGACAAGCAGUACAGAGAGGGAAUCGUUGGGCAGGAGUGGAGCUUCUGUCUAAGGAGAGAUGGAGAACCUGCAGGUGUGGAACAGUCUGGAGACAUGGAGAAGGUCAGGCCUGAACCAGUUCUUAUCAAGCAGGAGAGACUGGAAGAGGUCUUGUGUUUCAGUGACCCACAGCACACACCUGGAGGAGAGGAACAGGUAACACAGCCCACACCUGCAACAGAGGAACAGGUAACACAGCCCACACCUGUAGAAGAUGGGAAGAAACUGGACCCAGAGCCCACACCUGCAGGAGACCCAGAGGAGCUGAGUGAGCAGCACAGGUGUGAACACGGUGAUGAGGAGCUCAGUGGACUGGAGUUUGUGGUGAAGGCUGAGCAAGAGGAAGAGCAUGUAGCCCAGAGACUCAAUCAGACAGGAUGUGAACACAGUGCAGGAAGGCUCAACAAUCUGGGCUCUGAGUGUGUAAUGUAUGAGAGAGACAGUCAGCUGUGGAGUUCCUUUACACAAGAGGACAGUGACAUAGAGACUGAUGAUCCAGUUUGUUCUAAGGCUACAGAAAAGUUCUCACAGAAUCUGUCUAUUCACACACAGCUACAACAUACUCCUGCCACCAUAGAAGUCUCUGGAAACACACUGUCCUCUUUUGGGCCUUCAUAUGUUGAGGAGUUUGAUAAGAUGAGUGAGAAGCCGUCUGUUUGCAGUGAGGAGCUCAGAUCAGAGGCCAUUCACACACAGCAGGGUCAGUACAGAGAGAGACUUGUGCACACAGUGGAGAGAGAGAAUCAGACAUUACUGCCCCAGCAGCAGCAACAUGGACCCUCAGUAAAACACAUGAGAGGCAGCGAGAGCCCAGCCCAGCCACACUCAGGCUCUCAGUGUGAGACCGGCUCUACUCUGAGUACCAGUGUUUUCAGUGCUGGGAAUAAGGAUGAGACUCAUGGACAAGAUAACUGUGCAAAGAAACCGUUCAUUUGCAUGUAUUGUGGGAAGAGUUUUAAUUGCUGUAGUCAUCUCAUCUCACAUCACCGAAUUCACACGGGGGAGAGACCAUACAGUUGUGCACAGUGCGGGAAGUGUUUCAGUCUCAAAGGUAAUCUUGUACAACAUGAGAGGGUUCAUAGUGGGAAUAAACCAUUUGGUUGUGCUCAGUGUGGGAAGAGAUUUGCUCGCGGAGCAAACCUUAGAGCACACCAGAGGAGUCAUACAGGAGAGAGACCAUAUCACUGCACCCAGUGUGGGAAGAGAUUCACUCGCCAGUGCAAUCUUCUCGUGCACCAGAGGAUUCACACAAGAGUGAAACCAUACAGCUGUAUCUAGUGCCAGACUACUUUUUUUUUAAUGCCAUUUAAUCCUAUUUUCUCCCCAAUUUAGUCGUUAUACCAAUUCCCCAUCUGUAUCACAGUCCUUAUCAAUGCGCUGUCUUUCUGUUGGUCUGGGGAGGGUGUAGACUACCACAUGCCAGCCUCCGAUACAUGUGGAGUUGCCAGCCGCUUCUUUUCACCUACCAGCAAGGAGUUUCACUGGGAGAGUGUGAUGCGUGCGGAGGUUCAUGCUUUCUCCCCCAGGCCAACCAGUAGGAGUCGCUAAUGCAACGAUCAGGACUCUCACCCUCACGGGCUUCCCACCCGCAAACACUGCCAACUGUGUUCGUAGGAACGUCUGACCAAGCCGGAAGUACCGCUGCCAGGGAUUGAACUCGGUGGUAGGCGAGUGCUUUUACCUCUACCCAGACUACUUUUUUAAAAUUUAAAGACCCUUCUAACUCAUCAGAUUUCACUGGUGAAAUAAACCGCUUUGAUUGAAGUGGUAUUGAUUAACAAUCUGUGUAUUAGGUCUUUGUGUUAAAGUUUGAGUUGAGGAAAGACAUUUUGCUCACAAAAUUCGACAAAGAUUUGACACGUGACAAUACAACUUGCAUCAGUGCUUCCAUUCGUGUGGGUUUCAUGACAUUAAAAUGUUUUAAAUAAAAGUGAAGUUUUGGCUUUUUAAAAAAGAAUUUGAGCUGAGCAUCUGUACACCCAGGGUGUACAUCCUCACAGGCAUGAGUGAAUGGUGUGUGCGCCCUGCGAUGGAUUGGCCCUAUCUUUUUGGACUGUAGGAGAAAACCACAGUUUUUUUCCCCACGCAGACAUGGGGAGAACCUACAAACUUCACACCACAAGGCCCAGGCUGGGAUUCAAACCCAGAGCCUUCUGGCUGUGAGAGAGUAAAGUGCAAGAGCCGUGCAGAGAGAGAAACUUUGAGCAGGAGUGGAGCUUCAGUCUGAGGAGAGAUGGAGAACCUGCAGGUGUGGAGCAGUCUGCAGACGUGGAAAAGGUCAAGCCUGAACCAGUUCUUAUCAAGGAGGAGAGACUGGAAGAGGGCUUGUGUUACAGAGACCCACUGCCCACACCUGGAGCAGAGGAACAGGUAACACAGCCCACACCUGUAGAAGAUGGGAAGAAACUGGACACAGAGACCACGCCUGCAGGAGACCCAGAGGAGCCGAGUGAGCAGCACAGGUGUGAACACGGUGAUGAGGAGCUCAGUGGACUGGAGUUUGUGGUGAAGGCAGAGCAAGAGGAAGAGCAUGUAGCCCAGAGACUCAAUCAGACAGGAUGUCAACACAGUGCAGGAAGACUCAACAAUCUGGGCUCUGAGUGUGUAAUGUAUGAGAGAGACAGUCAGCUGUGGACUUCCUUUACACAAGAGGACAGUGACAUAGAGACUGAUGAUCCAGUUUGUUUUAAUGCUACAGAACAGUGCUUACAGGAUCUGUCAAUACACACACAGCUACAACAUGCUCCUGCCACCAUGGAAGUCUCUGGAAACACACUGUCCUCUUUUGGGCCUUCAUAUGUUGAGGAGUUUGAUAAGAUGAGUGAGAAGCCAUCUGUUUGCAGCGAGGAGCUCAGAUCAGAGGCCAUUCACACACAGCAGGGUCAGUACAGAGAGAGACUUGUGCACACAGUGGAGAGAGAGAAUCAGACAUUACUGCCCCAGCAGCAGCACCAUGGACCCUCAGUAAAACACAUGAGAGGCAGCGAGAGCCCAGCCCAGCCACUCUCAGGCUCUCAAUAUGAGACCCGCUCUACUCUGAGUACCAGUGCUUUCAGUGCUGGGAAGAAGGAUGAGACUCAUGGACAAGCUAACUGUGCAAAGAACCCGUUCAUUUGCGUAUAUUGUGGGAUGAGUUUUGAUCACGGUAGUCAUCUCAUGGCACAUCACCACAUUCACAUGGGGGAGAAACCAUUCAGCUGUACACAGUGUGGGAAGCGUUUCAGUCACAAACGUAAUCUUGUACAACAUGAGAGGGUUCACGGGAAUAAGCCAUUUGGUUGUGCGCAGUGUGGGAAGAGAUUUGUUCGCGGAGCUAACUUUCGAGCACACCAGAGGAGUCAUACGGGAGAGAAACCGUAUCAGUGCACCCAGUGCGGGAAGAGAUUUGCUUGGGAUGCUAACCUUAGAGCACACCACAGAAGUCAUCAGGGAGAGAGACCACAUGGCUGUACCCAGUGUGGGAAGAGUUUUGUUCGCAAGCGUAGUCUUAUUUCUCACCAGAGGAUUCACACGCGGAGUGUAGUGUAAUGGGUACGGAGUUGGUCUUGUAACCUAAAGGUCUCAGGUUAGAUUCCCCGGUAGGACAGUGCCAGUGUCAGCAGUAUAUAUAGUGUCCGUGUCAGGCCUUGUGCCUCAUUGUAUAUAUCCAGCUGUUUAAAUGGGUGCUUUGUAAAAGUAUCUCUGGAUAAGAGAAGGAAAACCAUACUGCUAUAACUGGUGUAAGAAUUAUUUUUCCCAUGACGUGCAGGAACUGCCGCCGUGGGCUAUGCAUGGCAAAUUGUGGUCACUCACUCACUCACUCACGGAUUACCUUUGAGGGACGUUUUGUGGGACGCAUGCACAGCUGGUGGCAGCUAAAAUGUGUCUGCGGAAGUGAGUUGUGCCAUGGGUCUGGGCAGUUCUGUGCUUGUUAUGUAAAGGACCUUCAAACUCAUCUGAUUUCACUGUUGAAAUAAACUGCAUUGAUUGAAAUGGUAUGCCUUAAUAAUUUUGAUAUUAGCUCUUUGUGCUGAAGUUUGAGUUAGAAAAAAAAUUGUGCUCACAAUAUUCAUGAAGACACAUGAUUAUAUAUCAAGCAUCAGUGUAUCCAUCAGAUGACUUCAAUGAAAUAAAAAGUUUUUAAUUAAAA